rnacentral:tRNA from 1 species
GCCUGGAAAGCUUGAAGGGUCCAGCAUCAGGUCUUGUGGACCUGAAGAUAGGAUUAAAACCCCUCUCAACGUC